rnacentral:tRNA from 1 species
UAGUCUAGUAGAUAAGACUAUGGAUUGCCAAUCCGGAGACGGUGGGUUCGAUUCCCGU